GGCAAGUUCGGCGCACAGGGCAGAUUCCUCUCAAUUUUUGGUUCUUUUCUUUUCCUUUCAAUUUUUUGUUUUUAAUUCAGCCAAUGAGUGGCUGAUUUCUUUAAUUCUAAUUGAGGAUUGGUUGAAAGUAAGGUUGUUUAAUGGGUUGUGAGAUCUGAACAUAAAUUAUUGUCUUUGGUUUUGUUCAAUAUUUAUGCAAUUGAUACUUUAAUUACAUGAUUACUUUGUUGUUUUGAUCAAAUUGACAAUUUGAUUUUAAUUACAAAGUUAAUUGAUUGUUAGUUGGGAUUAUUUUUAGUCCGUAAUUGCUGGAAAUAUUCUGACCUUAGAACACUUGGCGUAAAAACUAAGGAAUUGCAUGAUCUAGCGUUAUCUCCAUACGUUUGGGUAGCUAGGAUUGGAUCUCUCUAUUUCUUUAUGCAAUUGACAAUUGUUUUGAUGCCUAUGGCCUAAGGACGUUCCUUGGCAAUUUGUUAAUUAGUAAUUAAUUAGAGGACGUUCCCUAAUUAAUUUAAUCAUAAGGAGAGACAUGGUGGUGAGAAGCGUCUUCCACCCCAUAACUAAUCUAUUGAACCAAUCAAGAUAAUUUAAGUUUCAAUGAUCAACCCAAACAACUAAAGUGGAUUCAUAUCUUCAACUAGGUUUUUCUCAUAUUGAUUUACUCUUUUAUUUUAAUUAUUUGCUUUCUAUUAUUACUCUCAUUAUUAGUUACUACAAUCAAUCUCAAACCCCCCAUUUUACUUCUACUGCAAUUUAUUUUUAUUCUGUUUUCAGUUUAUCUCAUUUGAUCCCACUUUCAGUCUUUUAUCUCAUCUUUAAUUUAUUAUUGUUUCAGUUUAUUUUAUUGGUCUUGUUGAGAAAAAUAAAUAGGUAAUCAAUUCUCUGUGGAUUCGAUCCUUUCACCACUAUCUGUAGUUGUAAAAUUGUUGAUAAUCAGAAAGGUUAUUUUUGACCGGUCUCGACAAUCGCUCCUGUCAUUAACCAUGAUGCUUUCACUCUCAUGGACCGUCCUUAGAGGAACGAUGGGAGCCGGAGCGUGAAUUGGGCCAUCAGAGGAGGAGCUCAAGGCAGAACUUCCACCAUAGGAAGAAGAAGAAGAAGAGGAGGAGGAGGAGGAAGUAUUCCUAUUCAUUUCUAUAAAAGGAAAAGCAAGUAGGAAUUACCUUUAAGUAAGGAAGUGUGAAUGGACAAGAGUAGUCGAGUCUUUUCUGAAGCACAAAUAUCAGUUGUGAGUAAAAGUGGUAUUUGGAGGAGGAGAAGGGUUUUUAUACGAUGGUUUCGCGCGACAAGUUUUAAAUGCAGCUCAAGAAACAAGUCAGUCGUCAUUUAUGGUCAGGAGCAGGGAAAGCAAUGCAAGAGUGGAAUGCCAAUCUAAACAUGCCACAUGUCCCAUUACACCUAUAUUCGCGGAGUCCCUUAUCUAUUAACCGAUACUAGUCAGAUUUCCAGGGCAUUUGACAACCACCUCCAUCUUCUUACAAUAUAAAAACUGAUGAACCUGAGAUUAAGGUACACAUUCUUACACAACUACUCUUAAGUUCAAAGCAUUACACUCGCUCUUUUUUUCAAUUUACUGCAUCUUCUUACAAUAUAAAAACUGAUGAACCUGAGAUUAAGGUACACAUUUUUACACAACUACUCUUAAGUUUAAAGCAUUACACUCGCUCUUUUUUUCAAUUUACUGACUUGAGCAUCAGAGUGGCUGCCAUAGAUGCCAAUUAUCUCACUUUCUUUUUCUUGCAGAUUGACCAAUCACAGCGCAAUUUCGUUUUAGUCACAUCAAAAAUAAUAUUAGCAAAUUUAUGAAAAAUAAGGUUACAAGAUGAUUUAUUGAAUUGUUUUACUUUAAUAUUAAAUAUAUUUAUCUAUUAUCACUAUUGAUGAAAAUAUAUACUUACCUUUAAUAAUUC
rnacentral:lncRNA from 1 species